AUUCCUGUAGCGCAAUGGAUAGCGUGUUGGACUUCUAAUCCAAAGGUCGUAGGCUCGAAUCCCCCUGGGAUG
rnacentral:tRNA from 1 species